rnacentral:misc_RNA from 1 species
CCGAGUUUCACCGACUCCCAAACCCCUGUGAACCUACCACACGUUGCUUCGGCGGACCGCCCCGGCGCCCCUCGCCUCCCCCCGGGGGGGCGGCAGGCCCGGAGCCAGGCGCCCGCCGGGGGACCCAAACUCUUGCCUUCGCUCCGGCGGAAUGUUCUUCUGAGUCGCGAAACGAAUGAAUCA